rnacentral:rRNA from 1 species
UACGUAGGGUGCAAGCGUUAAUCGGAAUACUGGGCGUAAAGCGUGCGCAGGCGGUUGUGCAAGACAGAUGUGAAAUCCCCGGGCUCAACCUGGGAAUUGCAUUUGUGACUGCACGGCUAGAGUGUGUCAGAGGGGGGUAGAAUCCACGUGUGAGCAGUUGAAUGCGUAGAGAUGUGGAGGAAUACCGAUGGCGAAGGCAGCCCCCUGGGAUAACACUGACGCCUCAUGCACGGAAAGCGUGGGGAGCAAACAGG